rnacentral:tRNA from 1 species
CAUAGUGUACUAUGCACAUGAAGAUUUGAUUUUCACAGAGAUGUAAACUCAUCUGAUAAU